rnacentral:rRNA from 1 species
UACGUAGGGCGCAAGCGUUAUCCGGAAUUAUUGGGCGUAAAGAGCUCGUAGGCGGUCUGUCGCGUCGGUCGUGAAAACUUGGGGCUUAACCCUGAGCUUGCGGUCGAUACGGGCAUGACUGGAGUUCGGUAGGGGAGACUGGAAUUCCUGGUGUAGCGGUGAAAUGCGCAGAUAUCAGGAGGAACACCGGUGGCGAAGGCGGGUCUCUGGGCCGUAACUGACGCUGAGGAGCGAAGCAUGGGGAGCGAACAGG